GGGGAUCUAGCUCAGUUGGUAGAGUGCUUGCCUCGCAUGUACCAGGCCCUGGGUUCAAAUCCCAGCCCCC
rnacentral:tRNA from 1 species